GAACAGGCUGACUGAAUUUUACGGAGUCCGCAAUCAAUGUCGCUGUGCAAAGGAGGAAGCCGUCGACGGCGACCACAGGCCAAACU
rnacentral:sRNA from 1 species